rnacentral:lncRNA from 1 species
CCACCGAACAAAAAUCUCCUCCCUCUCUACUCUCUCAACCACAAAAAUCUAUUAAAAUCUCUCUUCCCAUCAAUUUUUUUCAUUCAAAUCAUCCUCUUAGAAACUAAAUCUCUUUUUCUUCUCUUCCUCAUUUGGACGGAUCAAGCUUACCCUAGCUUCAAACCCUUAUCUCCAAACCGGUGGUCUAUCUCCCUAAAAAUUUUUAUUUUUUCUCUAAAAUCUUUUCC